rnacentral:rRNA from 1 species
GAUGAACGCUAGCUACAGGCUUAACACAUGCAAGUCGAGGGGAAACGACAUCGAAAGCUUGCUUUUGAUGGGCGUCGACCGGCGCACGGGUGAGUAACGCGUAUCCAACCUGCCCACCACUUGGGGAUAACCUUGCGAAAGUAAGACUAAUACCCAAUGAUGUCCCACGAAGGCAUCCGAAUGGGAUUAAAGAUUUAUCGGUGAUGGAUGGGGAUGCGUCUGAUUAGCUUGUUGGCGGGGUAACGGCCCACCAAGGCAACGAUCAGUAGGGGUUCUGAGAGGAAGGUCCCCCCACAUUGGAACUGAGACACGGUCCAAACUCCUACGGGAGGCAGCAGUGAGGAAUAUUGGUCAAUGGGCGAGAGCCUGAACCAGCCAAGUAGCGUGCAGGACGACGGCCCUAUGGGUUGUAAACUGCUUUUAUAGGGGAAUAAAGUGAGCCACGUGUGGUUUUUGCAUGUACCCUAUGAAUAAGGACCGGCUAAUUCCGUG